AGUAACACGUAAGCAACCUGCCUAUCAGAGGGGAACAACAGUUAGAAAUGACUGCUAAUACCGCAUAUGCCUUAGCAACACAUGUUGCAAAAGGGAAAGGAGCAAUCCGCUGAUAGAUGGGCUUGCGUCUGAUUAGAUAGUUGGUGGGGUAACGGCUUACCAAGUCAACGAUCAGUAGCCGGACUGAGAGGUUGAACGGCCACAUUGGGACUGAGAUACGGCCCAGACUCCUACGGGAGGCAGCAGUCGGGAAUAUUGCGCAAUGGAGGAAACUCUGACGCAGUGACGCCGCGUGCAGGAAGAAGGUUUUCGGAUUGUAAACUGCUUUA
rnacentral:rRNA from 1 species